rnacentral:rRNA from 1 species
AUUGAACGCUGGCGGCAGGCUUAACACAUGCACGUCGAACGAGUGGCGGACGGGUGAGUAAUGCUUGGGAAUCUAGCUUAUGGAGGGGGAUAACUACGGGAAACUGUAGCUAAUACCGCGUACCAUAGGAUGAGCCCAAGUGGGAUUAGGUAGUUGGUGAGGUAAAGGCUAACCAAGCCGACGAUCUCUAGCUGGUCUGAGAGAAUGACAAGCAAAACUGGGACGGAGACAGGGCCCAGACUCCAACGGGAGGCAGAGGUGGGGAAUAUGGCGAAAUGGGGGCAACCUGAGGAAGCCAUGCCGCGUGAAUGAAGAGGGCCUUGGGGUUGUAAAGUGCUUUCGGUAGCGAGGCGUUAACUACAGAAGAAGCACCGGCUAACUCGGGGCCAGCAGCCGCGGUAAUUC